rnacentral:rRNA from 1 species
GACGAACGCUGGCGGCGUGCUUAACACAUGCAAGUCACGGGGGCUCGCAAGAGCAACCGGCGAACGGGUGCGUAACACGUGAGCAACCUGCCUUAGUGCGGGGGAUAGCCGGCCCAACGGCCGGGUAAUACCGCAUACGAUCCACUGGGGGAGUCCCUGGUGGAGGAAACCUCCGGGGCACUGAGAGGGGCUCGCGGCCUAUCAGCUGGUUGGCGGGGUAAUGGCCCACCAAGGCGACGACGGGUAGCUGGUCUGAGAGGAUGGCUAGCCACAUUGGGACUGAGAGACGGCCCAGACUCCUACGGGAGGCAGCAGUGGGGAAUCUUGCGCCAUGGUCGAAAGACUGACGCAGCGACGCCGCGUGUGGGAGGAAGCCCUUCGGGGUGUAAACCACUGUUGCCCGGGACGAAUGCCCCUUUCGAGGGGAGUGACGGUACCGGGUGAGGAAGCACCGGCUAACUCCGUGCCAGCCGCCGCCGUAACAC